UACAGAGGGUGCGAGCGUUGUUCGGAAUUACUGGGCGUAAAGGGCUCGUAGGCGGCCAACUAAGUCAAACGUGAAAUCCCUCGGCUUAACCGGGGAACUGCGUCUGAUACUGGAUGGCUUGAGUUUGGGAGAGGGAUGCGGAAUUCCAGGUGUAGCGGUGAAAUGCGUAGAUACUGGGAGGAACACCAGUGGCGAAGGCGGCUACCUGGACCGGUUCUGACGCUGAGGCGCGAAAGCGUGGGUAGCAAACAGG
rnacentral:rRNA from 1 species